GGAUUACCUCCUCUGAGCUGGGUGAGGUGGGCCAGGGGCCGGGAGCAGCGGUAGGGAUGGUGACCCAAAAGCCCUUUCCUGUGGGCUGGGAGCAGCGGGAGGGAGGGUGGCCUGGAAGCCCCUUCCUCUGGACCAGGAGCAGUGGGACGACUGCUCAGAGGCCCCUACCUCUGGGCCGGGAACAGUGGGACUCAGUACCUUGGUCUGGUGGUCUGGUGUCCUCUGUGCCUUUGUAGUGUGGAACCAGGUGGCUGCUUGUCUGCAGCGGGUGAUUCAGUGUCUUCUGCAUAACUCAGGACCUCGGUAGGGAGUGCACAGACCUUCCUGUGUGCAGUGGACUGUUUUGGCGUAUUCCUCAUGACUGGGGACCUCGGUAGGGCAUCCACUUUUUAAAUUUUGAGGCAAGAUUUCAAUAAGUCACUAAGUAGCCUGGGCUGGGGUCAAACUUGUGACCUGCUGCCUCAGUCUCAAAGAGUGCUGGAGUUAUGGGCAUGUGACCACCACCAGGCCCAGUUUAGCUGACUACAUUUUAAAAUAGGAAUAAAUUCAAGGAACACAAUUGAUCAUUUACAGUAUGAAAUAAAAUUCUUGGAUAAAGAAUUUGGCAAUAAAUUUUAGAAUCUGUGAGUUUUCAUUCCAAAAAGAAUAGGAUUAGGAGAGGGAUGUAGCUCAGUGAUGCCAUGCCUGCCUGGCAAGCGCAAGGUCCUGAGUUCGAUCCCCCCCCCCCGCAGCCCCAUCAAAAAAGAAAAAAAAAAUAGGAUUAGGCACAAAUAAAACUUGAAAAAGAGAAAAAAGACUAGACUCUCAGAACUCAUUUUUUGUCAUAUUCCUGCACAUGAAAUACUGUGGAAAUGAGCCAUAUCAAGAUUAAUUCAGAUUAAUUCAGUGUACCUUACUUCAAGUAGAAUACUAUCUAAAGAGAAAAGGAAAUAGCCCUCAAAAUACUAUGAGGCUUGGCCCUGUGUAUCCCAUGCCCCAACUUAGACAGUUCCUGCAACAGCUUAGAAUCAGUGCCCUUCAAAUUCCAUGUAAUUAAAACAGUGACCUUCUAAUGUCACUAAUGCUAAGUGUUUUUAUAACUUACCUUAUUUGUUUUUAUUUUUAUCAAAGUAUAUUAUAUGAAAUUAAAUCAAGAUAGGCUAGGUUUUGCUGCUGUAACUUCAACAACAAACCCCAGAUCUCAAUAGAAUAGAACAAGGGUUUUUUUUUUUUAAUCUCAUCUCCAUCUCAUGGCCAAUAUGAAUAAGUAUCUUAGCUCAUUCAGAUUGCCAUUCCAAAAUACCAUAAACUGGGUGGCUUAUAAACAGAGAAUUUUAUUUCUCACAACUAUAGAGGCUGAAAGUCCAAGAUCAGGGCAGAUGCAUCACUCCUCAUUUCCUGAUUCACCUUCUCACUGUGUAUUUAUAUGGUAGAAGGGGCAAGACAGCACUCGAGGGUCUCUUUUAUAAGGCCUUUAAUUCCUUAUAAAUUCAGGAGGACUCUAUCUUCAUGACUUAAUCACCUUCCAAAGGCUCUGCCUCUUAACGCCAUCAUGCUGGAAAUGAAGAUUUCAAUAUCUGGAGUUUAUGGGGACACAUUCAGACCAUAGCAAUGAGAGACUGUUCACAGAAGUCAUCAAGGCUUACAGAAGCUCUGUUUCAAUACAUGCCUUCACCAGCCCUGUGGCAGAAAGUGUAGAACUCAGUGGUUUAAUAUUGGCAAUUAUACCUCUGACCAAAAGUGUCAUCUCCUCCCCCAACCUAUUGUUAAGAACUAGCCAUUUGACCACACCUGGUCAACCAGAAGGAGCAGAAGUAUGAUCCUUCCUGCUGGCCUAAAGGAGGGGACCUGGGUGUCAGUAUGCUACAGGUGUGCUUGUCUUCAGUCUUGUAAGCAUAAACACCAUUCCCUUAAACCCACUAGUUCCCAAUCCAAAGGUAAGGCCUUGACUUUCAGUGCUUCUUUUAGAAUUUGCUUCCAUAUUUAAAAUUUUUUAAUGCUUAUACUAGUAUUGAGUUGCAUACAUGUCCUUUCUGGAACCUCAGAAAGUGACCUCAUUUGGAAAUGGGGGUUCUGAAGAUUUAAUUAGUGAAGAUGGAAUUAUACUAAAAUAGGGUGGCUUCUAAAUCCAAUAAGGCCCUGUAUUUUUACAGAAAAGACUCAGAAAUGCAGACAUGAAGGGAAGACAGCUACAUGACUCUGAAGGCAGAGAUUGGAACUAUGCAGCUGUCAGCCAGUAUACUCUAAGAAUUGCUGGCAACCACCAGAAGCUAGGAGAGAGGACUGGAACAGAUUAGGAAGCUAAUGUCACACACUUUCUUAAUUUGUCAAUUUUAAAUGUUAUUCAUGACAUUUAUAAUUGUACUCGGUCCCCACUUCCCCUGCCUUCAUCUGUCCCAUUAUUCAUCAGUAAUCAACUGUUUCACUAUUUUGACUAUGCAAACAUUGUUCACUGCUGAACCAAUGAUUUAUUUUCCAGAGUUAAUUAUUGCCUCAUAUUUGCAUUUGUUAAUUCUCUAUCAGACUAUUGCUAAUUGCUCUUUCUCCCCAAAUGCAUCUACAGGUUUCUUUUCACAACUGUUUUCCAUACUGUCAAACUAAUAACAAAUGACUUGGUAGGGCUUGUUGAAGAUGGGCUUUUUCACAGAGAUCUGACUUUUUUGCUAGGCACUUCUUGUUCCCCUUCCAGUGUCUAUAGUUGAGGAUACUGUUUCUCCAGUUAUGAAUCUUUCACUCCAGAGUACGUGUGGUAGAAAAUUUAGAAAUGCACAUCAUUACCAUAUUUCUAGCCUGCUGUCACUCUGCUUCUUGCUGCUGUAUCUCCUAAGGCACCAGGCUGUAGCUGCUUUGGUUCAAUCUCCACAGAAUAAUCUUCACAUGUUUAGAGGAAAGGCAGGCAAAGAGGAGAAUAUAUAUGGAUUGUUAAGCAAUACUCCUCUUUUAAGUCUCAUAUUCCCACCUUCCAUAGUAUCUAUGAGUGUCUCCAAGGCUCAGGCUUUCUGAGAGUCUUACUAAUGUCCCCUCUUCAACUAUUUAGGGUACAGCCUCCCCUGCCCUGCUAAAGCCAUUCUCCACUCAUUCUAUUCUUACAAAGAUGUGUUAACAGUACACAUCCAUGGUUACUUCGUGACCCAUCCUCUCUAUGUCCUUAUUUAUAAUUAUUGUUCUUAGAUGUAUUAGUCAGGGCUCAACCAGGAGAUUACAUUCACUCUGAGUACUUGAAACAAUGGGGAUUUAAUGCAAAUAAUUAGUUGUAGAACUGCUGAGGAGCCAACAGAUGUCUGUGAGGCAACCCAGGGAUUAGCAAUAACACCACCACCCUAGGCUGGCUGGACAAAGGUGGUAUUGCCAGAGUCAGGGCUCUAGUAACCCUGGUGGAAGCUAGAACAAUGCUCGAUCUGUCUAGUAUCAGUGGAUCUGCAGAGGGGGCCCAGCUAUUGCUAGAUCCUCUGUCUGAGUCAUAGAGCAGUGGGCAUAAAUCCUGGCUUUCUUCCUCCUCUCCAGCUUCAGGCUCCCACCUACCACUUGCUGAACCCAUGGAUGACAUGAAGGCUCUGUCUAGAAGAGUUCAGCCUCAUACAAUGAGGCAGAGCAGAACCAGAGAAGAAGGAGAAGUGGAUCUGAAGACAAGCAGAACCAGAACUGUCACUAUGGUGGUCUUUAAAGAAAACUGAGAUAAACACGCAUUUCCACUAGGCAUGUUUAUCAGAAACUCACAUUACAUAUCAAAAGAUGAUUUGAAAAUAUAAUUGAUAAAUCUUUUAUGGAGAGAUUUCAGGCUCUGAGGUACUUGAAUAGGUAGAAAAUAGCUUAUUCUGCUCCAUGUAAGCACAGCUCUAGGGAUAGGCUUAAUGUGAGCAAAGGCUGGCCAUACAACUGGCUUGUUCUAAGUGUCCCCACCUAAUAUUUGGCUAAGUUGCUGUACAUGUGGUGGUUAUGUAGAGUCAAGAUCCUUUCAGAUUCUCCCUGGAGACAUACAUACACACUGUUUUAUACUCCUAUUUUUACACUAACAGAACUUUGUGUAUAAUUGUAAGUGGACCCUCCCCAAUAGGAACCCAGGUCUACAAAUGAUGAAAGCCCCUAUUUACUUAUAUGAUCGGGAAGACCCAAGAGUAUAUUCUGGCUUGUGGUUUUCUUGGGGUUCAAAUAAAAUAAUCAGUAAUAUUUUGCUCAUAGUGUUUCUUUUUCCUGCUCUCCCUCCAGAUUUCUUUUUCUUGUGUAGGGUUCAUCUUGCAUAGUUUCUCUCACCUGGCACUGUGUGGUCCCAGAAGCUUCCAGCUUAGUGGUCCUUGGGGUUCAUUUGUGUAGUGGUGAAUGACUCUGCCUCUAUAACGAGUCUGCCUGGGUUCAAAUUUUGACUCCUCUACUCAUUACCUGUGUGGCCUCAUUAAGUUACUUAGCUUCCUGAGCGUUAGUUCCCUCAUCUCUCAGUGGGAACAAUAAUGGCAUCCACAUUAUUAUGAGGGAUAAAUGAACAUACACACAGUAAUAUGCACUUGUGAAAGCAUGGUGCUUGAUCCUGAGUUAGCAAAGGAAAUGAGAAUACAAAGACAAAUGAAGUUUUUAAGGUAGUCAGGGAAACAAAGGGAGUACACUAAGUGUGAAAAGGGUGAAAGUUUAAUAGCAGUCAAGCAGCUUUAAUUUUUCCAAGACAGAAGACUUGUGUUAUAUGAGCACUGCAUUUAAAUUCUUCUUCAGAAAGUUUGCAAGCAGAGAUUCCUCAUGGGUCUGAGUGCAGGAGAACAUUGGUUUAGUGUAUGUGUUUUGGUUGAUGUCAUCCCACACAUCAUUUUAGGGCUGUGUGCUGACAUUAUUAGGUAUCCCUGAUGGAUACAGUGCCUGGCCUCCAGGAGGUGCCCUGUGGAUGCUAUUGAAUAAAUGAUUGUUUUGUUAACAAUCAGAAAUAAUAACUCAACUAGUUCUGUGACCAACUAGAAUGUCUAGAAAGUGACUAGUAGGAAGAUGAGUUGUCUUCAUGGAAAAAUGGAAGAUUCCAUGAAAGAGGUGAGAAUCAAGAAUCCGUUGAAAUAAAAAAUGAUACAUUGCUUGACAAAAUGGUGGACAAAACCAUUUUAAGCCUGUGAUAGUGUCUCAGAGACUAGAGUGAGGCAAAAACUUUUUCAUUAGGUGUGUCCAGACAAGGACCAGGUAGACUGAGCCAGGAGAGCAGGGCCCAGAGUGCUGAGGAAGCACAUGUAACAAGCUCUGAGCUGGAAAGCAAAAUGCUGGACUUCACCUAAACAAUGCAGACCAAGGGAAAUAUAGGACAUAACAGGCAUACUUUUAAGUUUUCUAGGAGCCACAGUUAAAGAAGCAGAAAGAAACAGAUAAGAUUAAUUGCAAUUAUAUAUCUUCAUAUCUCCAAAACAUUGUCACAGCAACAAGUUAAUCUAUAUAAAAAUUAUUAAUUAAAUAUUUCCCAUUUAUAAUGUUAGGUAUUUGAAAGCUGGUACCUCAGGAGACUAUUCCCUUGGAAGGGGUUGACAGUUGCAAAGAAGAAGGGUCCAAGGUUUCUGUUUGUUCCACCUUCACUAUGAUGAAAUUAACCCCUAUCUCCACUCACAACACUUUAAGAGAUGUUUGUGAGAUAAGUGAGUGAAAGGCUGAAGGAGAGUGGACAUACUGCCCUGGGAUUUUGUAAAACCUAUUGUGUAUAUGGCAUACAUUAAGAAAAAACUUCAUACUUUGGGAGAAAAGCAUCUAGAAAGGAAUUUGAAGUAAAUAUAUUAACAAAAGAUUGUUACAGGUUCCAGAUUCAGAGAAGUACAACUGAUCCAAACAGUUAUAAAAGCUUAGGAGACAGCUUUCGGAGGAUUUUUCGAACAGAAGGAUCAUCUAGUUAUGGUGCUAGCUGAAAGAGGAAUACACACCACCUUUUGAACUAGAAGUUUUUAAAAAUCACAACAAAUGUCUUUAGCAGCAGG
ensembl:lncRNA